rnacentral:rRNA from 1 species
AGUGAACGCUGGCGGUAGGCCUAACACAUGCAAGUCGAACGGCAGCACAGUAAGAGCUUGCUCUUACGGGUGGCGAGUGGCGGACGGGUGAGGAAUACAUCGGAAUCUACUUUUUCGUGGGGGAUAACGUAGGGAAACUUACGCUAAUACCGCAUACGACCUACGGUUGAAAGCAGUGGAUCUUCUGACCUUGCGCGAUUGAAUUAGCCGAUGUCGGAUUAGCUAGUCGGCGGGGUAAAGGCCCACCAAGGCGACGAUCCGUAGCUGGUCUGAGAGGAUGAUCAGCCACACGGGAACUGAGACACGGUCCAGACUCCUACGGGAGGCAGCAGUGGGGAAUAUUGGACAAUGGGCGCAAGCCUGAUCCAGCCAUACCGCGUGGGUGAAGAAGGCCUUCGGGUUGUAAAGCCCUUUUGUUGGGAAAGAAAAGCAGCAGGUUAAUACCCCGCUGUUCUGACGGUACCCAAAGAAUAAGCACCGGCUAACUUCGUG